UAAAGGGUGCUUGACUAGACUAACAAUAAUCGGUCUUUUGCGUUGCUUGACUUGACUUGCCACCACUAAUGACUUCUAGGCCGUGUUCACAUGUGGGUGAUUUAUUGUUCAAGAGCAUUGGCGAGCUAGUGAUUGGAAAAAAAACGUUCAUUUGCGAGUGUUUGCAAGCGAGGAAUUGAAGGUGACACAGAGAUUCUUGCACUGUAGCAUCACUCGCAUAUAUGCGAAGAUCUGGAGGGAUGAAGCAUGAAUUCUCAAUAAUGCCCCUUUCCAUUUCAAAAAAUUCCCGUAUGCCAUUAAUGAUAAAAUCACCGAAGCCAUGCCAUUACUCAUAAAAUAUAAUCCAUGCAGUCAUGAAGAAGAUGAGGUUGGCCCUGUCAUGAAGAAGAAGAUGAUGCAGGUGUGAUUGGUGACGAAGACGAAAGCUGCCAUGUGGGUGUAGACGAAGCACGAAGCUCCGGUGCCGG
rnacentral:lncRNA from 1 species